UUGGGGUAUGAUAUUGCUAAA
rnacentral:siRNA from 1 species